GAAGCGGCUACCAUGCAAGUCGAGCGAGGACUUCGGUUCUAGCGGCGGACGGGUGAGUAACGCGUGGGAAUGUGCCCUUCUCUACGGAAUAGCCCUGGGAAACUGGGAGUAAUACCGUAUACGCCCUAUUGGGGAAAGAUUUAUCGGAGAAGGAUCAGCCCGCGUUGGAUUAGGUAGUUGGUGGGGUAAUGGCCUACCAAGCCGACGAUCCAUAGCUGGUUUGAGAGGAUGAUCAGCCACACUGGGACUGAGACACGGCCCAGACUCCUACGGGAGGCAGCAGUGGGGAAUCUUAGACAAUGGGGGCAACCCUGAUCUAGCCAUGCCGCGUGAGUGAUGAAGGCCUUAGGGUUGUAAAGCUCUUUCAGCUGGGAAGAUAAUGACGGUACCAGCAGAAGAAGCCCCGGCUAACUCCGUGCCAGCAGCCGCGGUAAUACAUAU
rnacentral:rRNA from 1 species